GACGAACGCUGGCGGCGUGCUUAAUACAUGCAAGUCGAGCGAGGUUACUGUUUCGGAUCCCUUCGGGGUGAAGAAGCUUUAACCUAGCGGCGGACGGGUGAGUAACGCGUGGGUAACCUACCCCAAAGUCCGGGAUAACAGCGGGAAACCGCUGCUAAUACCGGAUGUCUUUACCUUGGGGCAUCUUGAGGUAAAGAAAGGCAACGCUUUGGGAUGGGCCCGCGUCCCAUUAGCUAGUUGGUGAGGUAACGGCUCACCAAAGCGACGAUGGGUAGCCGGCCUGAGAGGGUGGACGGCCACACUGGGACUGAGACACGGCCCAGACUCCUACGGGAGGCAGCAGUAGGGAAUAUUGCGCAAUGGACGGAAGUCUGACGCAGCGACGCCGCGUGAGCGAUGAAGGUCUUCGGAUCGUAAAGCUCUGUCCUUGGGGAAGAAGGCGAAAGCUUGACGGUACCCAAGAAGAAAGCCCCGGCUAACUACGUG
rnacentral:rRNA from 1 species